UAGUCGAAUCACAUUCUAAAGAAGUGGUCCAGGGCAUAAAAUAAAGGGUAACAUAAAAAGAUGGUGGCUUUACCCCUACGCCGACUACAAUUGGAACCAUUUGCAGCCCAGUAGAGUAGCGAUGAGGUCCGGCAGGACUAACGCCUAUCCUCCCUAGUUUUCGUUCUCAACAACGAUGGACACCCGUGUCCCCCAAAAAACUAAGGCGAUCGGGACAAGGUUCGACGUUUUUCCACCAGUGCAGCGUCUUUGGUUUCCCUUGCUUUCCUCUGUGUGUCGAGUGUGUCUUUACUUUUCCGGUUCUUUUCUAGUUGUCUUUGGGUGUCCUCACUAGUUUCUGGGGCACCGUCUAUGGAAUCUCUGAUGUUAGAAAAUAGAAAAUAAAUAAAAAUUCAAGAAUGGGUGAAAAACAGAUAUGGAUAGGACACUACUCUAGCUCUCAUAAGAUAUUGUUGGUUGGAGAGGGAGACUUCUCAUUUUCUGCUUGUUUGGCUCGAGCUUUUCGCUCUGCCACUAACAUGGUUGCAACCACUCUUGAAUCGGAAGAUACUCUAUUGAAGGAACAUUGGAGCAGUGAGGCACAUGUGGAUGAGUUGCAGAGAAGAGGAUGCAAAGUGUUGCAUGAAGUUGAUGUAUAUGACAUGGACCAGCAUCCCACCCUUAUGUUCAUGAAAUUUGAUAUGAUCGUCUUCAACUUUCCUCAUGCAGGCCAUGACUAUUGGCUAUGCGAAAGAGACAAUGAGCUCAUACGAAGGCACAGGGGUUUGCUAGAAGCAUUUUUCCGAAGUGCCAGUGGGAUGCUGGUCGAAGGUGGGGAAAUUCAUGUUUCACACAGAGAAGACUACCCUUAUGAUAAAUGGAAGUUGAAGGAGCUUGCUAAGAAAGCCGGCCUGGUUUUGAAAGAGAAAGUGUGGUUCGAAAAGUCGGACUACCCUGGGUACCACCAGAAGAGAGGUGGAGGCAUCAAAAGCAACAAAACAUUUCCUCUCAAAGAAUGUUACACCUUCAAGUUUUCACUGAAACAUGAAACAAGUGUCCUUGAUUCAGAAGAAGCAACUUCAAAAUUGCAGAGGAAGCUAGAGGAAUUACACCUUCCCCAGCACAAAACAUUUAUUCCUCCAAAUCACAUCCAUGUUCCUGAAUCUGAAAGAUUCAAGUUGACUUUUGGAAGUUUUGGGGCUGCUGACUUUGUCAGUGGUCCUGAGACUGAUAAGAGCUCGCAUAUUAUGAGUGGAUGUGGGUUGAGGGUUUCAAUCUCAAACAGAGUGAGGAAGACGAUCCAGGACAUCAAGGAGAUAACGGGAAAUCAUAGUGAGGAGGAAAUCUAUGAAAUGCUCAAGAGAUGUUACAUGGAUCCCAACGAGACCGCCCAGAAGCUUCUCUAUCAAGGAUUUGAGCUCACACUUUGUUGGUUCAUAGCAAUCAUGUUCAGGCAUUUCAGAAUGACUUUUUUUUGGCCGUACAUUUCAGAAUGGCUAGUGCAUCACGUCCGGUACAUUUAGAAAAUUUGAACUUAAUUUUACCCUAAACUUGUGGCUAUUUUUGGGGUGCAGAAGUAAGCUCCAACUUGCACUUAUAUGAAAAUACUUCUCUCCUUUCCGUGUAAGUAGAAACUCCCAGUAUGACAUGUGUACAUAAGUUUUUUUGGUAUGUGUUUUUAAUGAAUUAUUUUGGCAUAUAUGUCAAACCGUGAUUUGCAAGGAGGAGCAUCUCCUUAACUUGUCAUUGCAAUUUGCAAUGGGCUCUGUGAAGUGGUCUUUUCCUUGGAUAGGGUUUGAUUUUUAACUGAAUAAUGCUUCCCUCCUUCUUGCCUAAUGAUGUAACUCAACCACAAUCUGAGACGUGUCUAGUAUUAUUGUCUUGGAGUAUAAACUCCAACUAGAUCCAUUUCAUGAGGUCAAAGGGAAACGUGACAAGAGAAAAGAGAAACUGAACAACAUAGAGUCUGCAGAGUCGCCGUGGAGAUCUGGAAUGCAGGGACGGG